AAAGGAAGAAGAUCUAAGAAUGCUUCUUUAAGAAGCUUUCUUGAUGGAGGGGAGUGGCAGACGGGUGAGUAACGCGUGGGAACAUACCCUUUUCUACGGAAUAGCUCUGGGAAACUGGAAUUAAUACCGUAUACGCCCUACGGGGGAAAGAUUUCUCGGGGAAGGAUUGGCCCGCGUUGGAUUAGCUAGUUGGUGGGGUAAAGGCCUACCAAGGCGACGAUCCAUAGCUGGUCUGAGAGGAUGAUCAGCCACAUUGGGACUGAGACACGGCCCAAACUCCUACGGGAGGCAGCAGUGGGGAAUAUUGGACAAUGGGCGCAAGCCUGAUCCAGCCUUGCCGCGUGAGUGAUGAAUGCCUUAGGGUUGUAAAGCUCUUUCACCGAUGAAGAUAAUGACGGUAGUCGGAGAAGAAGCCCCGGCUAACUUCGUGCCAGCCGCCGCCGUAACAC
rnacentral:rRNA from 1 species